rnacentral:rRNA from 1 species
UACGAAGGGGGAGCUAGCGUUGUUCGGAAUUACUGGGCGUAAAGGGUGCGUAGGCGGCGGGGUAAGUUUGAUGUGAAAUCCCGGGGCUCAACCCUGGAAUUGCAUUGAAUACUACCUUGCUAGAGUACCGGAGAGGAAACUGGAAUUUACGGUGUAGCAGUGAAAUGCGUAGAGAUCGUAAGGAAGACCAGUGGCGAAGGCGGAAUCUCGUGG